UAUGGGCUUCUCGCCGUUUGGACCAUGAUGAGGAAAUGCAUUGCAAAGUUUGGGAAGGACAGAUGAUGAAUGGGAAAACAUGCAAAUAUCCUGACAAUAAGGAGAUCAGGGUAAGUGCAGAAUGAAUGCUCGUAAACAAAUCAUAACGAAUGUUCAAUAAAAAGCAGACAUAGUCUAGCCACUGCAUAAGCUUUGAGCAAGCAAAGGAGAAUUAAUGUGGAGUGGAGGAGCUAUAUCUCUCUGUCACUUGCCACAUCCGUCUCCUCCUCUCCAGUUUGAAUCUUUUUUUGUAUUUCCUCCUCCCAAUUAAUUUUCUUUGUGUCAUGUCUUUUUAAGAGUGUAGGCCCGAGGGCAGGGACUGUUAAGUUUUGUGAUCUGGAAGCUACUCAGAGAGCCUUUUCUGAUUAACCUUAAUUAUUUUCUUUUCCUUUUAGGUGACUUUUGCUUCAUUUCAGGUGACAGCAGUUUUGCAAUGAAAAAAGUAAGUAACCCACUUAUUUCACAUCACAGUCUUCUGACAUACAGCAGUGUCGGGAAAGUUCAGCCCCAGGGGCCAAAUGCAGCCCUCCGGGCCAAUCUCCCUAGCUCUCUCAGAACUCUUCUCCAGCCACACAGCCACUACUAGCCAUGCUUCAAGCUCUCCCUGAGCAUUUUUGUCUGCCUGGAAUGCAUCCGUCAAUCCUGAUGAUGCUUCCCUGGAUGGAGGAUAGAGAGCAGUGUCCUAGGUGAAUGUGCGUACAAAGGUAAAAUUUGCAUUCAUCACUCCACCAACUUUUGCCUCUGGCCCCACCCAUCACUGCCACAUGCCCCCUGGCCCCAAAGGUUGUGCCGGAGGGACUGUUGCCCUUCAGUUGAACAAUAUAUCCCUCCCCUACAGCAUGCUGUGUCCUAUUCAACUGCCCCCUUUGUUUUAUAGACACACACUUGCUGCUCUUAUUUUAGAUUAUCACAUUAGGUCUGUCCUGUUACACACAUAGGGACACGGGUGGCACUGUGGGAUAAACCACAGAGCCUAGGGCUUGCUGAUCAGAAGGUCGGCGGUUCAGAUCCCAACCAUGGGGUGAGCUCCUGGUCCCAGUUCCUGCCAACCUAGCAGUUCGAAAGCACGUCAGAGUGCAAGUAGAUAAGUAGGUACCUCUCUGGCGGGAAGGUAAACGGCAUUUCUGAGCGCUGCUGUGGUUCGCCAGAUGUGCCUUAGUCACGCUGGCCACAUGACCCGGAAGCUGUCUGCGGACAAACGCGAGCUGCCUCGGCCAGUAAAGCGAGAUGACCACUGCAACCCCAGAGUCGUCCACAACUGGUCCUAAUGGUCAGGGGUCCGUUUACCUUUAUUACACACAUAGAUGUGCUUGUGGAGCUUAGCUAGUUGGGAAUCAGCAUUUGUCCUUGUGGUUUUUAUCUAGGUAUGAUGUUAGAACUGCAGCCUCCAAACUACUAAUGCCAGAUGAAUGUCAGUGAUGU